rnacentral:lncRNA from 1 species
GGGGACAGCGUGUUGGGCUGUGGGGAGGUUACCGAAAGGAAACGGGCCGAGUCCAGUUGUUUGAGCGGUUUUCUCCUUCCACGAGCGUGUGUGAAAAAGCGCGGAGUUCGGUGGAGGGCAGCUGCCAGGACUGCCUCCUGGACUGGGUGCGGUAAGGCCUUAGGGAUGCAUUCAGAUGUAGGGUGCCUUAUUUUGGGCCGAGAAAGCUGUCAAGUGAAAGAUCCAAGGGGAAAGGUGGGCCUGGAUUUUUUUGUUGUUGUUUGCGGUGGGUUUUUUGUUUGUUUUGAGGUCAAGUGCAGAAGCAGCGGAAGCUUCAACUGUAACCCUCCAGAAGGCAGGGAUCAUGCUGUUUCCCUCAUCCUUGUCUCUGAUCUUGGUGACACAUGUAGGUGAUUUCUGAUAGGAAUACCCAGUUCUGCAGUAAAUAGCAGACACAGCCCUUGGUCUUUUUCUAUUAAAUUCUUAGAAUAUAUUUCUGAAUUGGGAGAUUUAAAGGCUAAACAGAUUCCGACCUCCUUUUCCCCCACCUCAAAAACAGAACUUUAAAAAGGAGUGGGGGAGGUGUUUAUAAAAUCCCAGGACAAACAGUUCCAGCAGCGAACACACAUCGUCUUCAUUCUGAAAAAACCUGGUGCGGCGUGAGUUCCAAACGUCAGUCUCCCAGGGGAGAGAGAAGGAAGGUGGGGGAGGGCUUGAUUGUGUUGAUCUGAGGCCAGCAAACUCCUUAUGAAUAGAAACGUUAGUAAUCUUGAGUCAUUUGGCUGUGUAAGUAAUAAGAGCUUGUGAGGGUGUGACAAUGCUGUUUGGCUUGUAGGAAAUUUUGGGGAGUUUAUGUUUUGUUAAAAGAUUUUUAUCUUAAAAACUAGCCCCCUGCCUUCCUUAAAUUGUGAGGUAAAACAGUGAUUUGUUCCGCCCUACACUGAGCACAUUGUAGGAUCUUGAUAGAUUGCGGAUGAUAAAAGACAGGAAGUCAAGCUAAGUGGGGAGCAGAGGGGGGCAAGGAAUUCGCCAGGAAAGACCAUAUGAGUUAAAACGCAAAGCUGUUGGAUCCUGGCUGCCAUGUCUAGAUAAUUACAGACAGCACCAAGGGUGGCCUCAUACCGGAAAAAAGUUUGACUUUUACCACUUCCUCAGGUUAGUUAGGGAGAAAGUUUUCAGCAGUUAUGAAUGAAAAGACAAAUGCAACCAAUCAAAACACUAAUGGGUUGUACGAGUCAACAAACACGAAGAAAUAUUAAUUUAACGAACUUUCACUAUUAUACACCUGUGACUGUUAUCCACUGUGACAAUGGCUGUUUCAAAUAUAUAAUAUGUUAAAUAUAUGUUUAUUUUACCUUCGCAGUAUUUUUUUUUUUUUUUCCGAGACAGGGCCUGUCGCCCAGGCUGGAGUGCAGUGGCGCCAUCUCGGCUGACUGCAACCUUCUCUCCUGGGCUCAAGCCAUCCUCCCACCUCAGCCUCCUAAAUAGCUGGGACUACGGGUGCGCACCACCACGCCUGGCUAAUUUUUGUAGAAACGGGGUUUCAUCAUGUUACCGACGCUGGUCUCCUACUCUUGAGCUCAAGCAAUCCGCCCGCCUUGACCUCCCAAAGUUCUGGGAUUACAGGCGUGCACCACCACCAUGCUCUUCCCCUUCCCAGUAUUUCUGACUUAAAAAAAGUAGUCAGCUUCUUCUUAAAUUAUGGUAAAAGCAUACAAAGGUAUGCACCAAUUUUCUUAAAUGAGAUCAGUGUGUACUGAUGUGUGAAUAUGUACAGGCUAAUUUGGGAGAAAAGCAUGUUUAAUAUUUUAAACCAUUUGUGGAAAAAAUGUAUACACAUCUAUGUGUUCCUAUAUGCAUAGAAUAUUUCUGGAAAAAAGAACAGAAAACUGUUGAUUGUAUAUCCAGAACAGAGAGAACUUUUCCCUUUGCAAUUUAUACCUUUAAGUAUAGUUUGAAUGUUCUAAGAAUGCUUUACUUUUAUAAUAAUAAAAAUACUAAUAUAAACAUAAUGAAUAUUUUCCUUUUCCCUACCCCACUUCAAAACUUCAGCUCUCCCAACUCCAGAACAACUUCCUCUAGUUACAACAGUAUACCUGGCAGGAGAAACACCUGUUAAGCCUGGGCCAAAUAAAGCUUGGCAAUUAUGAGUAACCAACUUUCCAUUAUAUGCUCAUCUUGCUCCCUUUCCUGGUUAUAUUUUAAAAGAGCAAAUUUUGCAAGAAACUGCAAUGCAAAGAAGGACAUUUUUAACUUGACGCUUUUAAGAUAUGUAUACUUAUUCAACUCUUUCUACUAUUAUUUGUUUCACAUUUGCCUUCAUCUUAAACAGUGUAAGUUCAGGGACCCUAAGAUAUGAAACACACAGUGCCUGUUGCAUAGAGAAUGUAAAUUAAUGUUUGUCAAAUAAAUAUAGAAUGGAUUGCUAUCUCUGAGAAGUGAUGUGUUGUCCUUGGAAACAAAGAUGACUAUCCAGCAUCUGUGUAGCAUGUUUUUUCAGUAGGAGAAUGGAUCUGUGCCAGUUCUCCAUCUCAACUUCUGGUUUACAAGGUUAUAGUUUUGCAUGGCCUGAAUUAAAGGUGCAGUGUUCAAGUACAAAGAGAUAAGCUUAUCUAGAGGCUGAACCCAACAUGGGUUGACCUUAACCAAAUUCACCAAUUAAAGGAUACAAGUGUAUUGGAGUUCAGUAGUAACAAAAGUGGCUGGGGACCCAGGACUCAUGAGUUCUAGUCCCUACUGUCUAUCACUAGGUGCAUUGUAGCCUUAGACAAGUAAGUGAUUUACCUAUUUUCUUAUCUAUAAAAUGAGGGGCUUGAACUAGAUAACCUCUAGGUCCAUUCAUAGCUGCAAAAUUCUAAUUCUAAAGUUAAUGGUGAGCCAGAAGCAAUUACCCAUACCUACAGUCUCAGCUACUCAGGUGGCUUAGGUGGGAGGAUCUCUUGAGCCCAGGAGUUUAAGACCAGCCUGGGCAACACAGCAAGAACCCAUCUCUAAUAGAUAAAUAAAAUGUAAUGAUGAAAUUUUCCCUCUUCCAUCUUAUAUACUAUAGAUAGAUAUAUUAAUGAAGAGUAAGUCAUACACAAAUAAGAUAGACAAGGAUUCAUUGCCAAAAAUUAUGUGAAAUUUAAGAUACAUCAUUUCUAGUCACAUUACAUAUACAUUAUGCUUUUAUUAUAAAAUAAAAUGUGGAUAUUUUCCACAUAAGAAAAAUAUCAGGCUAGUAUGCUGGUAGUAGAUUAUAAGGGAAAGAAUCCUAAUUUAAGUAAGAUAAAAUAUAAAGGAUUUAAUUAGAAUCCAAAAUUCCAGCAAAAGCAGACUUAUUGAUCUGAAACAGUUUUUAAAAUAUUAUCAGAGAAAAGAAAUCCAUGAAACAAGGAUACCAAGAACAUGAAGAAUAGAGCUGGAAAAUGAGUUUCAAAAAGAUAUGUUUAUAAUGUAAAGUUUUAGAAUUUAGCCAAAGCAUAGAUAGUUAAAGAUUAAGACAUAGUGCCAGAGUAUAAUUAUUAAAGUGGUAGACAUUUACAUUAUUAAAUAUCCUCUUAGAGCUCUAAAUAGUCAACCUAUUUAACUAGUUUUAGGAUCAAAUUUAUCCUUUUUGAACACAUCAGGAACUGAAGUAACACAAGGUUAAGUGACUUGUACAAAGUUCUCAGUGAGUCAUCAGUAAAAUUGGUACAUUGACUCUAAAACUCUUGUCACCAACCCUUAUGUUCCAACUAUUGGACAGUAUCCAAACUUAAAGAGUUCUUUUUUUUUUUUCUUUGACAAAGAGCAAAUUGAAAUCAGAAAGGGGAGUAAAAUGGAAGGUUCCAGAAACCAGUGUAUUCACAACUCAGGUCAAUGAAGGCUUCCCUCAUCUCUCCUCCUUGUUCCACCACCCAUCCUUUGCCUACUCCUUCCUAAUUCAGAGCCUUUUCACGUUUACAGAAAUCACUGUCUGCUGACACAAAACCUCCAGUCUUGUUCGAAAAUGAGACCUACAUUUGCUUAUUUUAUAGGUAAUUGUACAUUUUUUCAUCCUACAUCUCAAGAGACCAAGGGACCUAAGUAAAUUGAUCUACUUGCCAAUGACUGUAAGAAAGACAAAGAAGUUGUAAAAACAUCCAAAUGAUGUUAAACAUAAAUUAGCUCAGAAUAGUUUGCAGAAGAUAAACUACCAGCGUCAAAGCAUGCAUUAAAAACUGGAAAGAAAUUAAAAGUGUGGUAUUGAAAGAUGUACAACUGACUUUGGAAAAAGGAUUCCUCUCUAAUUGGUGUUUGUAAGUGAUC